AUACGUAGGGAGCGAGCGUUGUCCGGAAUUACUGGGCGUAAAGGGCGCGUAGGCGGCGCUUCAAGUCGUCUGUCAAAUGGGAGGGCUUAACCCUUUUUCGCAGACGAAACUGGAGAGCUUGAGAAGCAGAGAGGCAAACAGAAUUCCUGGUGUAGCGGUGAAAUGCGUAGAUAUCAGGAAGAAUACCAGUGGCGAAGGCGGUUUGCUGGCUGCAUACUGACGCUGAAGCGCGAAAGCCAGGGGAGCAAACGGGAUUAGAUACCCCGGUAGUCCUGGCAGUAAACGAUGUAUGCUGGGUGUGAGACUAGCGAUAGUUGCGUGCCGAAGUUAACGCGAUAAGCAUACCGCCUGGGGAGUACGGUCGCAAGAUUGAAACUCAAAGGAAUUGACGGGG
rnacentral:rRNA from 1 species